CUGCCACAAAGGCUGUGAGGCAGUAGCUUUUGAAAAGCUGAAGUGAUGACUUGAUUUGGUCUUUGAGUGGAUGCGGAAAGAAAGCACUGGCACCUUGGCUAGGAAGUCAUCAGGCACAGGUCAGUGAAUCAAGCACUCACCCUCAGUGCUUCCUUAUGCAACUGAAAGAAGUUCUUGUGGAACGUUCCCGCUGCACGUUUCAGAAAAGACCAUGCAGUCAUCCGCAAAGAAGCGGCUGCAUACAGAAGAGUCAAAAGCCAAGUCAUUCAGAUAAACAAGAAAAAGAAGGGGCCCAAGGACCAAGCC